GGGGCCGGCUCAGCGGUAGAGUGCUUGCCUUGCAUGUGCAAGGCCCUGGGUUCCAUCCUCAGCACCG
rnacentral:tRNA from 1 species